rnacentral:rRNA from 2 species
GAUGGUGCUUGCACCUGAUUGAUUUUGGUCGCCAACGAGUGCAACCACCAGGUGAGUAACACGUAGGUAACCUGCCCAGAAGCGGGGGACAACAUUUGGAAACAGAUGCUAAUACCGCAUAACAACGUUGUUCGCAUGAACAACACUUAAAAGAUGGCUUCUCGCUAUCACUUCUGGAUGGACCUGCGGUGCAUUAGCUUGUUGGUGGGGUAACGGCCUACCAAGGCGAUGAUGCAUAGCCGAGUUGAGAGACUGAUCAGCCACAAUGGGACUGAGACACGGCCCAUACUCCUACGGGAGGCAGCAGUAGGGAAUCUUCCACAAUGGGCGCAAGCCAGAUGGAGCAACACCGCGUGAGUGAAGAAGGGUUUCGGCUCGUAAAGCUCUGUUGUUAAAGAAGAACACGUAUGAGAGU